UUAACAGGAUUAGAUACCCUGGUAGUCCACGCCGUAAACGAUGAGAACUAGAUGUUGGGAGGAUUUGCCUUUCAGUGUCGCAGCUAACGCAUUAAGUUCUCCGCCUGGGGAGUACGCCGGCAACGGUAAAACUCAAAGGAAUUGACGGGGACCCGCACAAGCGGUGGAGCAUGUGGUUUAAUUCGAUGCAACGCGAAGAACUUUACCUGGCCUUGACAUCCUCAGAACUUGUCAGAGAUGACUUGGUGCCUUCGGGAACUGAGUGACAGGUGCUGCAUGGCUGUCGUCAGCUCGUGUCGUGAGAUGUUGGGUUAAGUCCCGCAACGAGCGCAACCCUUGUCCCUAGUUGCCAGCACUUCGAGUGGGAACUCUAGGGAGACCGCCGGUGACAAACCGGAGGAAGGUGGGGAUGACGA
rnacentral:rRNA from 1 species